GGAGUUUGUUUAACAUAUUGUGAGGUAAGGAUCAUCUUCUUUAAGAAAUUGUUGCAAUUAGAGUUAAUAUUCUGUUAAGGUUUUAUUUGAGGAGUUUGAUAGCUGAUAUCUGUUUCCUUGUCAGAUUCAAAUAACUUUGUUCUAAAUUCAUAGUUGUAAUCUUACAGUCCAUCUCCAUGGAUAAGUUUGCAUUAAUAGAAUAUUCUCAAGAAAAUAAUUACUGCUUUCAUUUGCCUUUUUCUUACAUCUCUGCAAUCUUGUUUUUUAACCUAUGUGGCUUCACUUCUGUCCUCAAAGCAUCCCAACUUGAAUCAAAUGGCCUAUUUUCAACACAUGAAAAAUAAAAUGCUACCAUAUUUUUGCUCUUAUUUUUUUUCAUUCAACUGCUACUUCCUACCCUUCUAUAUUUGUUCUCAUUUAUUUUCAAGCUGUUAUUUCAACUGAGCUCAUUCCAUGAAUGAUUUGCCUUCUUAUAGUUCAAAAUUUUGCACCAUAAAUCAUGGGGCAGGUAUGGAAACCUUAGGUUCUGUUCAGUUUUGUAAUUAUCAGAACCAAUCUGAUAUUAAAAUUGUGAAGAUAAAAGUUUUAAGAUUCAACAGAUGGUUCAAAUACUGAACUGCUGCUUAUAUGCACUCUCACUCAACUCAAUUCAGCUCAAUUAGCUGUUAAUCUCAAACUAGUUGGGGUUGGCUAUUUGUAUUCUUUUCCUCCAUUCUACUUGGCUUAUGGUUACAUCUUCAAAAAGAUUUAGGGCUUUUUCACACACACAUGUAGUUUAUAAGUUGCAAAAUUAACUAAAUAAGAUAACAUAUAUACAAAAUAUAUAAAAAUGGAUAGAUGUUUAUAAUUUGAGGGUUAAAUGAUGCAUUUUGAUUAAAAAUUGUGGAGUUUAAUUUAGGUCAUUCUUUUUUUUUUUUUU
rnacentral:misc_RNA from 1 species